rnacentral:rRNA from 1 species
GACGAACGCUGGCGGCGUGCUUAACACAUGCAAGUCGAACGGAAAGGCCCUGCUUUUGUGGGGUGCUCGAGUGGCGAACGGGUGAGUAACACGUGAGUAACCUGCCCUUGACUUUGGGAUAACUUCAGGAAACUGGGGCUAAUACCGGAUAGGAGCUCCUGCAGCAUGGUGGGGGUUGGAAAGUUUCGGCGGUUGGGGAUGGACUCGCGGCUUAUCAGCUUGUUGGUGGGGUAGUGGCUUACCAAGGCUUUGACGGGUAGCCGGCCUGAGAGGGUGACCGGCCACAUUGGGACUGAGAUACGGCCCAGACUCCUACGGGAGGCAGCAGUGGGGAAUCUUGCACAAUGGGCGGAAGCCUGAUGCAGCAACGCCGCGUGCGGGAUGACGGCCUUCGGGUUGUAAACCGCUUUCGCCUGUGACGAAGCGUGAGUGACGGUAAUGGGUAAAGAAGCACCGGCUAACUACGUG